rnacentral:rRNA from 1 species
UACGGAGGGUGCAAGCGUUGUCCGGAUUUAUUGGGUUUAAAGGGUGCGUAGGCGGCCCGUUAAGUCAGUGGUGAAAGCCUCCAGCUCAACUGGAGAACUGCCAUUGAUACUGACGGGCUUGAGUACAGACGAGGUUGGCGGAAUUGAUGGUGUAGCGGUGAAAUUCGUAGAUAUCGAGAGGAACACCGGUGGCGAAGGCGGCCUUCUGGACGAUUACUGACGCUGAGACGCGAAAGCGUGGGGAGCAAACAGG